AGAGAUAUACCUUGCCGACGGAUUGGGAAAGCCACAACUUGACCAGAUUGAGAAGGUGUAGCCAUUUUGGAGAAGGAGCUUGUCCUUGAGUAAAGUAGGUUCGGGUAAUCCUUUUAUAAUAAAUAUGGGCAUCUUUUGCAAAAUUUAAAUUAUGAGCCAAGUUUUAAAUUUUUAAAAAAUUAUAAUCACAUUUUUGGAAUUGAAAUUCUAUCUUUUAACUGAAUUUGGUAUUUGAAAUCAAAAUUUCAAUUGAAGUUGAAGUUUUGUUCAUAAUGUCAUUAACAAACACAUAUUUCAAACAGAAUCAAAACUUCAAAUUUGAAGUAAGUUGCAUGUCCAAACACCUCCUUAGAGUAAUUCAUCUUUUGAUAUGAGAUUUGGCCACUUCCAAUUAUAUGAGAAACACUAAAGGUUGCAUUUAUUCACAUUCAAAAAUAAAAACUACAAAAACAAAAGAUCGUGACGAACAAAAUUUGUAGCCAAGUCAUUAACAUCCAUGCUAACCAGACUACAAAUGCCCAACGGUAUUCAAUCCAUAUAUAAUCUCCAUAUCUAGUAUUUUAGCAAGGGGUUUUGCGUCCAUCGCUAAAGAAGGAAAACUUUACUAGUCAAAAAUAGAAGGAAAGUCUGUAAUAGUCAAAAAUAAAAUGUAGCUAACUCUAGCCGCAUACUUGUUCAGUAGCUAAACUCAGUGGCUAACACAAGUUCCGUCACUGGAAGAGUUAGAAACAAGGUACUAUCACUUCAUUAGUAACACAAUGCACUUUAGAGAAGUGUGCGAUUAAAAAUAGAGAUAAGCAAAGAGUUCCAAAGGAAAAGUGGUUGGAUCUUUACAGCUCAACUUAGAAAUUUCAAGAUCCACUCAUUGAAUUGCUAAAGCAAAACUUUUAAUUGAGUUCAUGCAAAACACACCCAUGUUGUGCUCUUUGGAACUUAAUCUAAUAUAGAUACUAUUGUAUUUUGGAUGUUGAGAUUAACUAGCCUAUUGCAAUUUGAUUGUUGUUCUACUAAAUUAUAGUAUUUGGUACUUAAACUUUUUGUUAAUUGUGUGUCUCACUUCUAAGAAAUAUACGCUUUAGUGCUUGCUUUUCACUUCGAGUCCCUUGGACUUAGUCGCUCUUUUGCAACUUAAUACACCAGUUGCUAAAAUCUUAUUUUCAAUGGUUUUACCAAUGGAUUCUGUCAGAAUGCGAUUAUUUUAGAUAUGGUAGAUACAGCGUACAGCUUGAUUGAUUUGCUCCCUGUGAUUAUGUAUUGAUUUCCUUUGGACAUGUAAACCUAGUGAUUUAUGCUCCAAUAGCUUAGGGGAACAAUCAAACUUUGUUCUCUCAAUUUCUCUUUCUUUCUACAUGGUAAUAGAGUAAUAGGUGAGAAAAGUAGUUGUUGCACCGUUACCAACAGCAUUCAAGCGAUAAACUUCACCACCGCGCAAUAUGUCCGGCGCCUGUCAUUGUUUGAGGGGUUUGUCAAAUUAUGUUACUGUGCACAAACCAGUACCCUUGAUGAACUCCUCUCAAUUGUGUAACCUAGCCCAAGAAAGCCCACCCCUGGAAAACUAGUCAUGCACCACCAGAACCACCUCUUCCAACAUCACGCGUCAACACAUGUGGACUGUUUAAACCACUUUUCGGAAACUCUCUUCACACGGUUGGGUGUCCCUCCUGUUAGGAAUUGCCCUGAAUUUCAUACUUCACCUGAUUUUCUACCAAAAUUAGAAUUACUUUUCUUGAUGGAAAAAGGUUUCCUUGUUGGAGAGAAUCUCUUUUCUAUUAGGUUUAUUAUUUCUUAGAAGAAAAGUUUUGUACCACUAUAAAUAGAAGAUCUCUCUUCUCAAGCCACAAAACAAUAACAUCCACAAUGUACUCAUUUAAAGAGUCUUGUUUAGCGGGAGAUUUCUCCCAUGUUUUAAUUUUUUUUUUAAUAAUAUUAGUUUUUAAUAUGUAGGCCAAUUGGCCAAACCAUAUCAAUAAUAUGUCUUUUUAGUAUUAUUUUAUGUGUCGUCUGAAUUAUCGCCCUUAUGGUUAGCAAACUACUAGCCUCCACAUGACACACUCUCGAUUUUGAAUCCAACAAGUAAUAUUAGAGCCUACGGUACAAAAUUCCAAUGGUUUGGAGAAACGAGUAUCAAGAUGCAACUAGUUUGACGAUAAUGAAGAUUUUUGUCCAAUUACAUGUGGAGAAAAAAUUUCAAUCAUAUUUCAACAAUAUUGUUGUCACAUCUUUUAAAAAUAAAGCUCACUUUUAACCCUACUUUUAACCCUACAAAGGGCUCCAAUAUUUUUAGCCCGAAAGAAAUCAUAUACUUUUAACCCCAAAAAAGGCUCCAUUUUUAAGCAUACAAAGCAGCAAUGAUGUAUGAAGAUCAUGUGAUGAAGAAGAAAAUCAAGAUUGAUUUUCCAGAAAAUUCAGGUCAAGGAGAGAUUUGCUAGAAAUUGCCCUGAAUUUACUACUUUACCUGAUUUUCUACCAAAAUUAAAAUUACUUUUCUUGAUGAAAAAAGGUUUCCUUGUUGGAAAGAAUCUCUUUUCUAUUAGGUGUAUUCUUUCUCAGGAGAAGGGUUUUUAUACCUAUAUAAAUCGAAGAUCUCUCUUCUCAAACCACAAACAAUAACAUCCACAAUGUAGCCAUUUAAAGAGUCUUAUUUGGGGGGGAGAUUUCCCCCACCAUGUUUUAUGUCUUUUUCUAAUACAACAACAACAAACCCAGUGUAUUCCCACCUGGUGGGGUCUGGGGGGGUAGGAUGUACGCAGUCCAUACCUCUACCUCUGAAGAAUAGGAGAAGGGUUUUUAUACCUCUAUAAAUAGAAGAUCUCUCUUCUCAAACCACAAACAAUAACAUCCAUAAUGUAGCCAUUUAAAGAGUCUUAUUUGGGGGGGAGAUUUCCCCCACCAUGUUUUAUGUCUUUUUCUAAUAAUAUUAGUUUUUAGUAUGUAAGCCAAUUGGCCAAACCAUACCAAUAAUAUGCCUUUUUAGUAUUAUUGUAUGUGUCGUCUGAAUUAUCGUCCUUAUGGUUUGCAAAUUAAAAGCUUCCACAU
rnacentral:lncRNA from 1 species